rnacentral:rRNA from 1 species
AACGAACGCUGGCGGCAUGCCUAACACAUGCAAGUCGAACGAAGCCUUCGGGCUUAGUGGCGCACGGGUGCGUAACGCGUGGGAAUCUGCCCUUGGGUUCGGAAUAACAGUUAGAAAUGACUGCUAAUACCGAAUGAUGUCUUCGGACCAAAGAUUUAUCGCCCAAGGAUGAGCCCGCGUCGGAUUAGCUAGUUGGUGAGGUAAAGGCUCACCAAGGCGACGAUCCGUAGCUGGUCUGAGAGGAUGAUCAGCCACACUGGGACUGAGACACGGCCCAGACUCCUACGGGAGGCAGCAGUGGGGAAUAUUGGACAAUGGGCGAAAGCCUGAUCCAGCAAUGCCGCGUGAGUGAUGAAGGCCUUAGGGUUGUAAAGCUCUUUUACCCGGGAUGGUAAUGACAGUACCGGGAGAAUAAGCCCCGGCUAACUCCGUGCCAGCAGCCGCGGUAAU